rnacentral:rRNA from 1 species
GUGGGGAAUCUUGCGCAAUGGGCGAAAGCCUGACGCAGCCAUGCCGCGUGAAUGAUGAAGGUCUUAGGAUUGUAAAAUUCUUUCACCGGGGACGAUAAUGACGGUACCCGGAGAAGAAGCCCCGGCUAACUUCGUGCCAGCAGCCGCGGUAAUACGAAGGGGGCUAGCGUUGCUCGGAAUUACUGGGCGUAAAGGGCGCGUAGGCGGACAGUUUAGUCAGAGGUGAAAGCCCAGGGCUCAACCUUGGAAUUGCCUUGGAUACGGGCUGUCUUGAGUACGGGAGAGGUGAGUGGAACUCCGAGUGUAGAGGUGAAAUUCGUAGAUAUUCGGAAGAACACCAGUGGCGAAGGCGACUCACUGGCCCGUUACUGACGCUGAGGCGCGAAAGCGUGGGGAGCAAACAGGAUUAGAUACCCGUGUAGUCC